rnacentral:rRNA from 1 species
UACGUAGGGUGCAAGCGUUAAUCGGAAUUACUGGGCGUAAAGCGUGCGCAGGCGGUUUUGUAAGUUUGUCGUGAAAGCCCCGGGCUCAACCUGGGAAUUGCGAUGGAGACUGCAAGGCUGGAGUCUGGCAGAGGGGGGUAGAAUUCCACGUGUAGCAGUGAAAUGCGUAGAGAUGUGGAGGAACACCGAUGGCGAAGGCAGCCCCCUGGGUCAAGACUGACGCUCAUGCACGAAAGCGUGGGGAGCAAACAGG